CAGCCAGACAAACAGGAGAAGGAGAGAGAAGAAACAGAGAUACUAGCUUACAAGUAGCACGCAUUGGACAGGAGACAGAUCGUCAGACCUCAGGUGGAAAAGUCCUUCUAAAGGAGAAGAUCUUACAGCACUGAAUCUCUUUACAGUGAAUAUCUACUCAUCAUUGGGCCGUACUGUACUACUAUAGUGAGAUGCUAUAACCUGAGCACUCCGUAUAAACGUUUUUGGCUCUAGGUGCUCUGAGAUCAAACCUGCUCUUCCUUGGACAGAGGAAGUCAUUUCUUUCCAACAGCCAAUCAGCUAUAGUGUGAUGAUGUCCAGCCUGGCACUGCCCUCCAGGCCAAUCUCUCCCUGCUACCUCUACCACUCCUGGAUCGGUCUAAAAGCGGUUUCUCUGUCUGACAACUCUCCACUCCUAAAGAUUGGCCGCUUCGUGGGCGUAGGCGUGAACCUAUUCAAGUCAAUAUGGAGAGCUGCGAAACUGCGGUCCCAGUAAAUGUCCCAAGAGACUGCUGGCACAUGCUUGUAUGCCAUGGGUUGUAUGUGUACUUACUGUAUGUUAGCAAAAGUUGUACACAAUGUAGGCUACAAACGUAUUACAACUGUAUCAUGCCAAUCCUUCUCCUGGAGGUAUGCUGGGUGUGCAGGCUUCUGUUCCAGCCCAGCACUAACACACCUGAUUCAACUUAUCAAACCUAAUGAGUUGAUAAAACUGUGUAUUAUUGCUGGUCUGGAAUAGAAGUGUGCUCACCAAGUAGAUCAGGGAGGGGAGCAAGGUUGGUCACCUCUGGUAUGGACUUUUUUGUUCACCCAAAAUUAUUCUUUAGUAAUAACAGCCUUCUUACUAAGAUGUCUAACAUUCACAAACAAGUUCAUUAUUUGUAUAUUUUGAAGUUAUAUUUUUUUCAACAUAAAAACAUUAUUCAAGAUGAACUAGGGUCAAUGUUCAUUCACCACAGAUCACAACCCUGCAAUAAAAAGACCGAAGGGGGAUCUGUCUCU